rnacentral:tRNA from 1 species
GUUUAGGUAGCUCAGUUGGUCAGAGCGAAGGACUUAAAAUCCCUGUGUCAGUGGUUCGAAUCCACUUCCAAGCA